rnacentral:rRNA from 1 species
GACGAACGCUGGCGGCGUGCCUAAUACAUGCAAGUCGAACGCAGUGGGGACGGGUGAGUAACACGUGGGUAACCUCCAAUCAGAGGGGAUAACACUUGGAAACAGGUGCUAAACCGAUACUGAUGGAUGGACCCGCGGUGCAUUAGCUAGUUGGUGAGGUAACGGCUCACCAAGGCCACGAUACAUAGCCGACCUGAGACGGUGAUCGGCCACCGUGAGACUGAGACACGGCCCAGAAUCCUACGGGAGGCAGCAGUAGGGAAUCUUCGGCAAUGAACGAAAGUCUGACCGAGCAACGCCGCGUGCGUGCAGAAGGUUUUCGGAUCGUAAAGCUCUGUUGUUAGAGAAGCGGUAUCUAACCAGAAAGCCACGGCUUACUACGUGCCAACAGCCGCGGUAAUUC